GACGAACGCUGGCGGCGUGCUUAACACAUGCAAGUCGAACGAGUGGCGAACGGGUGAGUAACACGUGGGUGCUCUGCCUUGCACUUCGGGAUAAGCUUGGGAAACUGGGUAUAAUACCGGAUCGUUCAAGAUGAGCUCGCGGCCUAUCAGCUUGUUGGUGGGGUAAUGGCGACCAAGGCGCGACGGGUAGCCGGCCUGAGAGGGUGUACGGACAAAUUGGGACUGAGAUACGGCCCAGACGCCUACGGGAGGCAGCAGUGGGGAAUAUGGCACAAUGGGCGGAGGCCUGAUGCAGCGACGCCGCGUGGGGGAUGAAGGCCUUCGGGUUGUAAACUCCUUUCGAUAGGGAAGCGGUACCUGUAGAAGAAGCACCGGCUAACUACGUGCCAGUAGCCGCGGUAAUAC
rnacentral:rRNA from 1 species